rnacentral:rRNA from 1 species
CAGCAGCCGCGGGAAUACGAAGGGGGCUAGCGUUGUUCGGAUCUACUGGGCGUAAAGGGCGCGUAGGCGGGCGAUUAAGUCAGAUGUGAAAUCCCAAGGCUCAACCUUGGAACUGCCUUUGAUACUGGUUGUCUUGAGUCCGGGAGAGGUGAGUGGAACUGCGAGUGUAGAGGUGAAAUUCGUAGAUAUUCGCAAGAACACCAGUGGCGAAGGCGGCUCACUGGCCCGAAACUGACGCUGAGGCGCGAAAGCGUGGGGAGCAAACAGGAUUAGAUACCCCGGUAGUCCCUGUCUCUUAUAC